rnacentral:rRNA from 1 species
UACGGAGGGGACGAGCGUUAUUCGGAAUUAUUGGGCGUAAAGGGCGCGUAGGCGGCUGUACAAGUCAAAGGUGAAAUCCCUCGGCUCAACUGAGGAACUGCCUUUGAAACUGUACGGCUUGAGGCCGGGAGGGGGUAGCGGAAUUCCCAGUGUAGCGGUGAAAUACGUAGAUAUCAGGAGGAAUACCGGUGGCGAAGGCGGCCAUCUGGCCAAAUACUGACGCUGAGAUACGAAAGUGUGGGGAUCAAACAGG